GGGGGAUUUAUGAAUAAGCCGCGACUCCCCGACGCUUGAAUGAAAAUACUUCUGGUGCCGUAUGCAAAUACGCCGUGACGUAAAACGUCACGUGGGUCUCGCCGUGGAUCUCCCACGCAGGACGACUUUCUUCUGCCUCCGCUGUCGCCCGUAGGCUCCGCCGGGAUCUCCGGGAUUAGCGGCUGUUUUGGGUUUUUUUGGUUUUCUUUUCUUUUUUCUUUCCUUCCUUAUUUCUGGCGUGUCCGAGCGAAGCCCGGAGCCCGCCGCUGCCCGUCGGAAAUAAAUCUCGGUCGGGUUGUUUCUCUCUUUUUUCCUCCCCUGGUCCUCUCGCCCGAACCCCGGAGCGGAGCAGAUUCCAGAGGAGGCGACCCAGAGUGCCGCUGGACCAGACACCAGCGAGGGGAGGGGCGGGGCGGAGAGCGAGUGAGCGAGCGAGCGAACAAGCCUGGAACUGGAGCGAAACGGGAGGCCUUCCCCCAGGGAAGCCCCUCCCUUCUGCGGAAGUGCAGUCACUGCUGUCUGUAAUGAAUUCUCAUGAAGUCCCCCACUGGAGCUGACGUUUCCAGUCAGCAAGAGACUCCAGGGCAGGCUGAGGACUUCCGAGCAGCAGUAGGUUCCUGUCUAAGCCUAGCAGCUGGUGUAUAUCUCUCCUGGAAAUACCCCAUAUCUCACCUUCCUUGUGGAAUAAAC
rnacentral:lncRNA from 1 species